UUUCCGUAGGUGAACCUGCGGAAGGAUCAUUAACGAGUUUGAAAGGGGUUGUAGCUGGCCUUCCGAGGCAUGUGCACGCCCUGCUCAUCCACUCUACACCUGUGCACUUACUGUGGGCCACGAAACGCCGUGCUUAACGCGCGGUGGGUCUGGUUCACGUCUCAUUACAAACGCUUUAGUAUCAGAAUGUAACUUGCGAUAUAACGCAUCUUAAUACAACUUUCAGCAACGGAUCUCUUGGCUCUCGCAUCGAUGAAGAACGCAGC
rnacentral:misc_RNA from 1 species